rnacentral:rRNA from 1 species
UACGUAGGGGGCAAGCGUUGUCCGGAUUUAUUGGGCGUAAAGCGCUCGCAGGUGGUUCGUUGCGUCGUGCGUGAAAGACCCCGGCUCAACUGGGGAGUGUCGUGCGAUACGGGCGAACUGGAGGCCAGUAGGGGGAUGCGGAAUUCCGGGUGUAGUGGUGAAAUGCGUAGAGAUCCGGAGGAACCCCUGAGGCGAAGGCGGCGUCCUGGCGCACUUCUGACGUUCAGACACGACAGCAUGGGGAGCGAACGGG